rnacentral:lncRNA from 1 species
AGCAUAAUGGGUUACACAGCUCACAUGUCUUGCAUCCCGUUAGUCAUAAAACAUGAGCUUCUGCUUGGGGAGGGGAACAGUGGGGAUGAUUGCUCCCAGAUGUGGAUGGCCUGUCCAGUGCUCCAGAAUAUGGUGGAUUAGUGCAUAGGAAUGUGUGUUGCAAGGAGGGGCAGGAGAGUGGUACACUGUGCCCAUGGUUUACAUAUUGGCCAGAUAACUCCUUAGGAGAAAAUGAGAGGAGGCUGUGAGAUGCUAGUUCAUGGUAGAGGCAACUCUUCUAGUUAGUAUCUCAGGGGUGUUUGUGUGUGUGGGUGUAGGUGUGGGUGUGUUUGCAUGCACAUGUGUGUGUUGAGGAUGGAACACAGGACCUUGCACAUGCUAAGCAAGUGCUCUGUCCCUGAGCUCUAUUGCAGCCCUUUGUCUCAGUUUUGAUUGUUUAAAUCCAUUUCUUGGUACUCUGCUUCAGUGGACUUUAACACAAAGAGACUGAGAGAUGCCUGCUUCCAGAACAGCCCAGUUAUCUUGCCUCCCUGAAUGGUGAAAAUGAACCGAGCAGGUUAUCUUGUUUUGGGAUUGUAAGAAUAUGACUGUGUUGUAGGUGGGGGAUCUGACCAUGCAGAACAGGCGUCUGCAGAUGGUUACUGUAGGACAUUGGAGAU